rnacentral:lncRNA from 1 species
UUUUGAAAAAGUCUCACUCCUAUGUUUUGUUGUUAGAUAUGAAUUCUAUGACACCGUUGAGAGUAAGACCCUCAAAGACCCAUCAAUCGGAGUCUAUUGUUAUUAGUCAGAACAUUUUAUUUGAAGCACAUAUGUUAAGUCUUGUGACACAAGCCUGUGCAUAACCUAAAGCUUCUCAGGAGAAUCACAAGAUCAAGACCCAACUGGACAACUUAGUGAGAUGCUCUCUCAGAAACGUUUUAAGUGAAAGAGCUGCAGAUAUAGCUCAGUAGUGCAGUGCUUGCCCAGCAUGUGUAAAGCCUUAGGUUUGGUUCUCUGACUUAAAAAAAUAGAAAAUGAUAGAUAGAUAGAUGAUAGAUAGAUAGAUAGAUAGAUAGAUAGAUAGAUAGAUAGAUAGAUGACAGAUAGAUGAUAGAUACAUACACACAUACAUAUACACAUGCAUAUAUACAUACAUACAUACAUACAUACAUACAUACAUAGGUAGUUGAUUUAUAGAAGAUGAAUGCUACUAGAUCAAACACAUUUAAAAUUUGUUGACAGUGGUUCUCAGCCUCAGUCAGUCUCUCUCUUGGUUUAUUUCCUCAUUUUGCUCAACUUUUUUUUUUCUCUAAGUAUUUAUUAUCUACCAGCACAUUAUACUAACUCCUGUUUUUUCUCUUCUAUGGUAGCAAGUUGCAUGCAGACAGAGGCAUGCCCUGUUUGCUCACAGAUACAUCCUAAAAUCCCAGAACAUUCCCUGCUCACACUGUUCCUCUGGUAUCUAUUGUAUAAGAACCACUGUAGUUCGUGCUUAAGACAGAAGUGCUCUUUCAUUCCUCAUGAUUAUUCUUUUAGCCCAAUCUCAUGAAAGAACAGAUACUGUUCAUCUCAUUUUCUUCAGCUCAUCCUCAGAGCAGUCCAGAAACCCCAAUCCUAAGUCCAGGACAUCCCUAGAAGACAACCUGGUGAGGCUCAGAGGCAAUUAGACUACUCAUCAAAGUCCCCAGUCUGGCUUUUGCUAUUGUCUUCAUACCCCAAGCUUUGAGUAUUUGUUAGGGUUUGAGAAGGAGGCAGGGGCCUCCCUUAUCAGCCAGAGGCAGG